GGUAGCGUGAUGAAGGGAAAGAGUAAGAAGAGUCCUUUGCUCAAGAGAGGAUGGAGCAGGUGGAAACCAUCCCCAAGGAUCUUUUGAAGUGCAUCCCGGAGCGUGAGAUGAAUGGCUAGGCCAUUCUCCGUAAGGCUGCGUUAAGGCCAUGAGUGGAACGGGAAACUGUUCAAUCAGAGUGGAACCGCGGAAACCUUUCGUCUCUGGA
rnacentral:ncRNA from 1 species